UACGUAGGGUGCGAGCGUUGUCCGGAAUUAUUGGGCGUAAAGAGCUCGUAGGCGGUCUGUCGCGUCGGAUGUGAAAACCCAGGGCUCAACCCUGGGCCUGCAUUCGAUACGGGCAGACUAGAGUUCGGUAGGGGAGACUGGAAUUCCUGGUGUAGCGGUGAAAUGCGUUGAUAUCGGGAGGAACACCAGUGGCGAAGGCGACUUCCUGGCCUGUUCUUGACGCUGAGGCGCGAAAGCUAGGGUAGCAAACGGG
rnacentral:rRNA from 1 species